rnacentral:lncRNA from 1 species
UCUUGUUCAGAUGUUAUGCAUCUUAUAGAUGAAUGAGUAUGAACAACAAUAACAACUUGAUAUGAGAUUCAUUUGAAAUUAUGGUAAAUCAAGUUUUUUAUAAUAGAUGCAUGUGCAUCUUGUCAUUGAACUAAAACAAAGAGUAAACUCGUGGCCACAUAAUGCUCCAUUAAUGGCAUAUAUGGACAAUUACAAACAUAGAAAAGCAUCCAAAAUCUAGAGCUCUACAUGAAUAUAUAUUGUAAAAUGUCAUUUUUAACAUGAUGCUCGACAAUUACAAUGAUGAAAGACUUAGAAACAUAUAAUCACAAUCCCAUAUGGACACGUCGGUUAAAUAACACAAGUACACCACUUCUAUAUAAGAACACCCUAAAUCUGAAACUCGUGUAUGACUAUAGACUCUAUUAUUUUUUUAGAUAACAUAUGAUAAUUGUUCAUUAGGUAAACUAAGUCAUGGUGGGUAUUUAUAAUAUAUGCCCAACUCAAAUCAUCAUCCCUUACCACCACAAGCACAUAAAUAUGAGCAAAAAAAGGAAAUGCCUAAUCUAGGAAUCAUUUUUCAUAUUGUAAAGAUCAAAUACUCAUUUUUAUGAUACAACAAAUCCUUUAACCAAAAUAGAGUUUAGAGUAUAUAAUGUCUAUCCCGUCUGCACACAUUAGUUAACAACACAUACGUUGCCAGUAGCAACGUAGAAAAUCACAUCAAAUUGGGAUCUCACCUUGCACAGAAUAUAAACCCAUAUCAUAGUUGAGUUGGAUAUCUCUGGCAAAAAGUAGAGUUUGGUAUGAUUUUCUUUUCUUGUAUGGUCCUUUAUAUGAUUAAAAAAUGUGCAUAUAAUUUUUUUCUAUUGGUACUAUGCAUAAUAAGAAUAAAGUAUUGUUUAUGGAUCUCAAAAUGUUUCUCCUUGUGAGUAGAAUCAGCCUAACAAAAAUAUAUUUAUUGAUCAUGCCAAAGUUUACUAAAUCAUCAACGAUAGAAUGGUUGCAACUUGAGAAUGGUUAUGGACCAACAUGGAAGAUCGCCACUUAAUCCAAGGAAGUUGAUUUAUGAAAAAAUAAAGGGAGUGUUUCUAUUGAAAAUAACAAAGACCAAAGCAACUCAAUCGAGAGGAAACAUAAAAAAAAGAUGACCAAAAUUAAUAGAGUUUGGCCAAGAAAUCCUAAAAUAUCUUGCAUCAACUACACAACCCAUAAUAACAUAAGCAUGCCCAAUAUCAUUUGAGUGGUUGGUUGAUAUGUGCUAAAUAUUAUUUAUCCUUUUAUACAUGAUUAGUUAUGAGCUUCAAAAGCAUUCUCCUUGCCAAAAGAUCUGAAUAUAAAAAAAGAGCUACCUGAGGAUCACUGUAGAAGGAAUAGAGAGGGGAAUGGUGGAAUCAAUGUUUAUUGCUUGAGUUUCGUGGGGAUAUAUAUAAUAUUAC